rnacentral:rRNA from 1 species
GACGUAGGGGGCGAGCGUUAUUCGGAAUUAUUGGGCGUAAAGCGCUCGUAGGCGGGACUGCAAGUCCGUGUUGAAAGACCUCGGCUCAACUGAGGGACCGGCUCGGAUACUGUGGUUCUUGAGGCAAUCAGAGGGUGAUGGAAUUCCCGGUGUAGCGGUGAAAUGCGUAGAGAUCCGGAAGAACACCGGUGGCGAAGGCGGUCUGCUGGGCAGUAGCUGACACUGAGGCGCGACAGCGUGGGGAGCAAACAGG